GGGCGAGUGGUGGAAUGGUAUACACGCGACACUUAAAAUGUCGUGGCCGUAAGGCCUUGUGGGUUCGAGUCCCACCUUGCCCACCA
rnacentral:tRNA from 2 species